rnacentral:rRNA from 1 species
CCUACGGGGGGCUGCAGUUAGGAAUCUUCCCCAAUGGGCGCAAGCCUGAGGGAGCGACGCCGCGUGCGGGAUGAAGGUUUUCGGAUCGUAAACCGCUGAAACAAGGACGAAAUCCCUGUAAAGGGUCUGACGGUACUUGUGUAAUAGCACCGGCUAACUCCGUGCCAGCAGCCGCGGUAAUACGGAGGGUGCAAGCGUUACCCGGAAUCACUGGGCGUAAAGGGCAUGUAGGCGGUGGCUUAAGUCCGAAUUUAAAGACCGAAGCUCAACUUCGG